GUCACUGAGUUUUUUGAAAGAGGGCAAAGAGUGAUCUCGCCGAUGGACGACGGCGAAGGCAUAAAGCUCAUGAAGGAUGAGUCACAGAGAGAGGGGGUUUCAUUCUUCUCCGAUGGGUCACUCGCCCUGGAGAAAUCAAUCACCAUCGGACCUCUCUCUCUUCCUUCCUUCCUUCCUUCCUUCCUUUGGUGGUGUUUUGUUUGUGCGCUCCGGUGAAGAUCCCAGUGGAGGACGAGCUUCUUUUUUAGGGUUAGAGAGAGAGAGUAAACCCUUACUUAAGGCGACUUCAGGACAGAGCAAAGUCUCAGAUCGUACCACCUGAAGCUUUUAAAAGGUACUCAUCAAAUCAAUCCAUGGAGGAGAACUAGUUCAGAGUCUCCACAGGAGCUUCCCCCAAAUUAACUUCUUUGGGUCUGUUGACUGUUGCAUGCUUUCUCUCCAUGAUGCCAGCUGAGGUCGUGGGCCAUAAAUAUAGAUCAUACUGAUCAACUAUGUUAAUCUCUUGCUAUCCUUACAGAGUGGAAACAGAGGCUUGACUGCUUGGGAGCCCAUCCGUGUCUAUCCACAAGGACGUAUUUGAUGCACAAGAUUGAGAGGAGGUGUUUACUGUCACCAGUUUACAGAACGAAGACGGUUCAUGAGGAUUACAGAUUGAGAGAAAGAGUGUUUCCAGAUCGUAUCGGGUGUGUUCUCGAAGCAAUCCGACUUGUGGAGAGUUCUUCUUCUAGGGUGUGUUUUGAAAGCGAAGUCUAUGAUCAGUUAGGACGAUGGCUCAUAUUUUUUAGCACUGAGAGGGAGAGGACUUAUCUUGAUGUGAUCUAUGUAUCGCAAACUCUAAAGGAGGUGUCUCUGAAGAUCUAGCCGGUUUCUCUUAGUUGAGCACUUUGAUCCCAAUUGAUCUUUAUCUAUCCUCGUCUUCUUAGCUUCUAUCAUGUUGUUAAUCGAAGCUUUUAAAAUGCCAAUGAUAAGAGACCGCAUCUGCCCCCCAGUGAUAGGCUUCCUGCUAGUUCCAAUUCUGUCAUGACUAGUGAUCCUGGUGUUGUGACUUGUAAGGAACUACUUAUUUCUUUUGGUAGAGAGAAGAAGCUCAAUCGUCA